rnacentral:rRNA from 1 species
AUUGAACGCUAGCGGCAGGCCUAACACAUGCAAGUCGAGCGGAGCGGCGAACGGGUGAGUAAUGUCUCGGAAUCUGCCUAGUAGCGGGGGAUAACUUCCGGAAACCGGCGCUAAUACCGCAUACUAUCAGAUGGGCCUAGAGCGGAUUAGCUAGUUGGUGGGGUAAAGGCCUACCAAGGCGACGAUCCGUAACUGGUCUGAGAGGAUGAUCAGGCACACUGGGACUGAGACACGGCCCAGACUCCUACGGGAGGCAGCAGGGGGGAAUUUUGGACAAUGGGCGAAAGCCUGAGCCAGCCAUGCCGCGUGUGUGAAGAAGGUCUUCGGGUUGUAAAGCACUUUAAGCCGGGAAGCGGUACCUACAGAAUAAGCACCGGCUAACUGCGGGCCAGCAGCCGCGGUAAUUC